rnacentral:rRNA from 1 species
AUACGGAGGAUCCGAGCGUUAUCCGGAUUUAUUGGGUUUAAAGGGAGCGUAGGUGGAUAGUUAAGUCAGUUGUGAAAGUUUGCGGCUCAACCGUAAAAUUGCAGUUGAUACUGGCUGUCUUGAGUACAGUAGAGGUGGGCGGAAUUCGUGGUGUAGCGGGGAAAUGCUUAGAUAUCACGAAGAACUCCGAUUGCGAAGGCAGCUCACUGGACUGCAACUGACACUGAUGCUCGAAAGUGUGGGUAUCAAACAGGAUUAGAUACCCUGGUAGUCCACACAGUAAACGAUGAAUACUCGCUGUUUGCGAUAUACAGUAAGCGGCCAGGCGAAAGCAUUAAGUAUUCCACCUGGGGAGUACGCCGGCAACGGUGAAACUCAAAGGAAUUGACGGGG